rnacentral:rRNA from 1 species
CAGUGAAUAAUUCAACGGCCGCGGUAUCCUAACCGUGCAAAGGUAGCGUAAUCACUUGUCCUUUAAAUAAGGACCCGUAUGAACGGCUAAAUGAAGACUAAUCUGUCUCCUUUAACCAAUCAGUGAAACUGAUCUACCAGUACAAAAGCUGGUAUAAAACCAUAAGACGAGAAGACCCUGUGGAGCUUUAAAACCAACACCAAAAUCAAAGUAAUACCAUACCAUAACACAUGGUCCCAUGUUUUAAGUUGGGGCGACUUCGGAACAAAACAAAACUUCCGAGCAUAAGAUAGUAUUCUCACUAAGACCCACAAGUCAAAGCAAAACUUGACCCAGUAAAACUGAUAAACGAACCAAGUUACCCCAGGGAUAACAGCGCAAUCUUCUUUAAGAGUCCAUAUCGACAAGAAGGUUUACGACCUCGAUGUUGGAUCAGGACACCCAAAUGGUGCAGCCGCUAUUAAAGGUUCGUUUGUUCAACGAU